AGGGUUCGAUUCUGGCUCAGGAUGAACGCUGGCGGCGUGCUUAACACAUGCAAGUCGAACGGGAUCCAUCAGGCUUUGCUUGGUGGUGAGAGUGGCGAACGGGUGAGUAAUGCGUGACCGACCUGCCCCAUACACCGGAAUAGCUCCUGGAAACGGGUGGUAAUGCCGGAUGCUCCAGUUGACCGCAUGGUCCUCUGGGAAAGCUUUUGCGGUAUGGGAUGGGGUCGCGUCCUAUCAGCUUGAUGGCGGGGUAACGGCCCACCAUGGCUUCGACGGGUAGCCGGCCUGAGAGGGCGACCGGCCACAUUGGGACUGAGAUACGGCCCAGACUCCUACGGGAGGCAGCAGUGGGGAAUAUUGCACAAUGGGCGCAAGCCUGAUGCAGCGACGCCGCGUGCGGGAUGACGGCCUUCGGGUUGUAAACCGCUUUUGACUGGGAGCAAGCCCUUCGGGGUGAGUGUACCUUUCGAAUAAGCACCGGCUAACUACGUGCCAGCAGCCGCGGUAAUACGUAGGGUGCAAGCGUUAAUCGGAAUUACUGGGCGUAAAGCGUGCGCAGGCGGUUCUGUAAGAUAGAUGUGAAAUCCCCGGGCUCAACCUGGGAAUUGCAUAUAUGACUGCAGGACUUGAGUUUGUCAGAGGAGGGUGGAAUUCCACGUGUAGCAGUGAAAUGCGUAGAUAUGUGGAAGAACACCGAUGGCGAAGGCAGCCCUCUGGGACAUGACUGACGCUCAUGCACGAAAGCGUGGGGAGCAAACAGGAUUAGAUACCCUGGUAGUCCACGCCCUAAACGAUGUCUACUAGUUGUUGGGGACGAUAGUCCUUGGUAACGCAGCUAACGCGUGAAGUAGACCGCCUGGGGAGUACGGUCGCAAGAUUAAAACUCAAAGGAAUUGACGGGGACCCGCACAAGCGGUGGAUGAUGUGGAUUAAUUCGAUGCAACGCGAAAAACCUUACCUAGCCUUGACAUGCCAGGAAGGUCUGAGAGAUCAGACCGUGCCCGCAAGGGAAUCUGGACACAGGUGCUGCAUGGCUGUCGUCAGCUCGUGUCGUGAGAUGUUGGGUUAAGUCCCGCAACGAGCGCAACCCUCGCCCUGUGUUGCCAGCACGUCGUGGUGGGAACUCACGGGGGACCGCCGGGGUCAACUCGGAGGAAGGUGGGGAUGACGUCAGAUCAUCAUGCCCCUUACGUCCAGGGCUUCACGCAUGCUACAAUGGCCGGUACAACGGGAUGCGACCUCGUGAGGGGGAGCGGAUCCCUUAAAACCGGUCUCAGUUCGGAUUGGAGUCUGCAACCCGACUCCAUGAAGGCGGAGUCGCUAGUAAUCGCGGAUCAGCAACGCCGCGGUGAAUGCGUUCCCGGGCCUUGUACACACCGCCCGUCAAGUCAUGAAAGUGGGUAGCACCCGAAGCCGGUGGCCCAACCUUUUGGGGGGAGCCGUCUAAGGUGAGACUCGUGAUUGGGACUAAGUCGUAACAAGGUAGCCGUACCGGAAGGUGCGGCUG
rnacentral:rRNA from 1 species